CGUGUGACUCCACGUCCACUACUUUGAAACACGGACCGUUAUGAAUGGGUGUCGCGUCGCAUCCUACGAUGCGACUCGGCGACUCGUUCGCUACGCCGUUGAGCGCCACCACGACGAGACUUUGUUUCUCUCUCUCUCUCUUUUUUCUUUUUUUUUCCCCAGGUACAACGAAACUUUCAGACACAGCAUUGCCACGAGUCGGUGUCGAAAGACCGAAUGGCUCUUAUGUGGCGCGCACUACGAGAGUGUUGAUUACGCGGUCCUCCCUCGUUCUCAGACGAACGUGCUCGGCUGGAUCGUCGCGCUUACUGAACAUUAACUCCACGGAGACUAGUGGAAGGUGAUCUCUGCCACGCGGCGGACGAUCUCUCUCCCCGAUAACUUGUACGCCGUAGCGAAAUUUUCCGUAAACACGGACAAUCGUUCCUCGACUGAAGCAUGUCCUCGUCGAUCUCACGUUAGGGCAGAGCGGCUCUACAUGCUGCUACUAUUUUGAGAAUGAGAACGCGAAUUGCGUGAAAAGGCGUGAUCUUAUGCGAAAGACACGCCACGGGAGAGACUCCACGGAGCCUCCCAAUAAAAAUGAUUAUAUUAGAAACUGAGUGUCUGCGAUCUCGUCAUCUAAUUAGUAACGCGCAUGAAUGGAUUAACGAGAAUCCCUCUGUCCCUAUCUACUAUCUAGCGAAACCACUGCCAAGGGAACGAGCUUGAAAAAAUUAGCGGGGAAAGAAGACUCUGUUGAGCUUGACUCUAGUCUGGCACUGUAAGGAGACAUGAGAAGUGUAGCAUAAGUGGGAGAUGGCAACAUUGCUGGUGAAAUACCACUACUUUCAUCGUUUCCUUACUUACUCGGUUGAGCGGAGCGCGUGCCCCGAGGACUUCGUGCCUUGGCGGUCACGGUGUUCUAGAGCCAAGCGUGUCAGAGUGGCGCGAGGCUUUGGCCGAUCGCCGUUAAUACUCCUGCGUGAUUCGAUUCGAGGACACUGCCAGACGGGAAAUUUGACUGUGGCGGUACAUCUGUCAAAGAAUAACGCAGGUGUCCUAAGGCCAGCUCAUCGAGGACAGAAACCUCGCAUAGAGCAAAAGGGCAAAAACUGGCUUGAUCUCGAUGUUCAGUACGCAUAGAGACUGCGAAAGCAUGGCCUUUCGAUCCUUUUGGCUUGAAGAGUUUUCAGCAAGAGGUGUCAGAAAAGUUACCACAGGGAUAACUGGCUUGUUGCGGCCAAGCGUUCAUAGCGACGUCGCUUUUUGAUCUUUUGAUGUCGGCUCUUCUUAUCAUUGCGAAGCAGAAUUCGCCAAGCGUCGGAUUUUUCACCCGCCAACAGGGAACGUGAGCUGGGUUUAGACCGUCAUGAGACAGUUAGUUUUACCCUACUGAUGACUAGUCAUUGCGAUAGUAAUCCUGCUCAGUACGAGAGGAACCGCAGGUUCAGACAUUUAGUUCACGCACUCGGUUGAACGGCCGAUGGUGCGAAGCUACCAUCCGUGGGAUUAUGCCUGAAAACCUCUAAGGCCGUAUCCUCUCUAGUCAAAGGUAGCAAUGAUAUCUCUAGAAGUCUUGUGAGUCGAAAGGCUUAAAACAAUGUGACACUACUUGGCGGCCGGUCUUCAUGGGGACCAAUCGUCGCACGAGCCCGGUUUGCCGUACGGCGCCAUCGUCCGUCGUCGGGAUCUCGCCGAUACGACGGCACGGCGUCUAACGGUCUAGCAUGAGUCAUGCGCGUUCAAUGUCGAGACUCGGAAUCGUCUGUAGACUUAGAUACCUGGGGGGGGGGGAAUUGUUGUACUCGGUAGAGCAGUUACCACGCUG
rnacentral:rRNA from 1 species